rnacentral:rRNA from 1 species
AACGAACGCUGGCGGCAUGCCUAACACAUGCAAGUCGAACGAGACCCUUCGGGUCUAGUGGCGCACGGGUGCGUAACACGUGGGAAUCUGCCCUUGGGUUCGGAAUAACAGUUGGAAACGACUGCUAAUACCGGAUGAUGACGUAAGUCCAAAGAUUUAUCGCCCAAGGAUGAGCCCGCGUCGGAUUAGCUAGUUGGUGGGUAA